rnacentral:rRNA from 1 species
GACAGAGGUCCCGAGCGUUAGGCGGAAUCACUGGGCUUAAAGCGUGUGUAGGCGGAUUUGUAAGUACCUUGUGAAAUCCCACGGCUCAACCCGUGGAACUGCUUGGUAUACUGCUUAUCUUGGGCCAGCUAGGGGCUACCGGAACAAGUGGUGGAGCGGUAAAAUGCGUAGAUAUCACUUGGAACGCCAAUGGUGAAAACAGGUAGCGUGGGGCUGUGCCGACGCUGAGACACGAAAGCCAGGGGGAGGCGAACGGG